GCCUGGAUGGUGGAAUUGGCAGACACGCCAGACUUAGGAUCUGGUACCGCAAGGUGUGUGGGUUCGACUCCCUCUCCAGGCACCA
rnacentral:tRNA from 5 species